rnacentral:misc_RNA from 1 species
CAAUAGUUCAAGACUUAUAAGAAAAAAACUCAGCAAAAAUUCGAAUUAGGACAAAUCUAGUUUAAAAAAAUGUUCUACUCAGAUACGCAGAUUCCAGAAACAACGUUCAGUUAAGCUGGUAAGUCCAUUUCCACAUUUACAAAUCGCCUAAUAUUCAUGAAUAGCCAAAUUAACCAUAUAGACCUCACAUAGCUAUGCUAGUCUGUCUUUCUUUUUCCAGAUAUUCGCUCGCCCUUUACAAAGACAAUAUUUGCUCACCUUUACAGAGACUGAUAUCACCAUCCCAAAGAAUUAUAGAACAAACAAGUGAAUAUAUGAUUAACAGACAAAGAAGUUGGGGUUAGUCUAGGCUGAUGAACGUGAAAUAAACAAGGAACCCACAGCUUCCAAUCACUUGAAUGGAAAAUGAAAUGCUAUCCUCUUAAAAGGUCACUCUCUCAUCCGCAGCCUUACGGGGUACCCAAUUCAAAUAAACCUGCAAAACAAGAAAGGCUUAUUAACUAAGAACAUACAACAAAACUAGCUUAUAUUCCACUAAAUCCUUGCUAAAAUUUUAUGCAGCCCUUUCUUUCUUUUUCCUAAUCUCUUAAUAGUUCAAAAGUUGCAAUUAUUAGGAACAGUAAGAAAAGGACAUCAGGAACAUUAAAACAAGGACACCUUUCUUUUCACCAUAAAUUGCAGACAACUUUUGUUCAGCAAGGAAUCACCAUAUCAGUAUUUGUCUUCCAAACAUAACAUCAUCAUUUUAUACAAGAGGAAAAUUUUCAAUAGUACAAUUAGACCAUAAUAGGACUAAUAAUUAUAAUUCCUUUUUCUAAAUCCAUUCACCACAAUCCAAACCACCAAUGUUUUAGGUUUUUGACCACACUCAAUAUUUUCAAGGCGUCAGGCUCUCUAUAAAAUAUCAACAGUUUUUUUUCAUCUUUCAUUUAUUAGUUUCUAACAUCAUUUCUUGGAUUAAAAAAAUUUAAAAUGCUAGGUACAUUUGAAAAAAUGAUCCAAAAUAUACUAUAUCCACAUUUUAAAUUAAACUUCAAUAAUUUUUAAGUCACUAAAGUCAUAUUUUUACUAUCACAGCUCAAUGUAGCCAUGAACGCAGUAAAACUUUACCAUUUGUGGGCUUCAUUCCACUGACCUCAUCCAUAUUUUUGCAGAGAAACCAUGUUCCCAAGCAUUUCAAAGUAGUUCACAAGGCAAUUAAUGAUUUCUUUUCUUCAUUUCAAUAUAGGG